CUGAUUGUUACUCUCAUUGCUACGCAGCUGCUAUGGCAAUACUUCGUGCCAUCAAAUCUAGUUACAGCCUUGGACCACAAACGGCACCUGGCUCCAAACACUAAUAUUAAUUCUCUGCCGUUAAACAUGGUUACAAUCGCCCAGACCAAAUGGAAACCUGAUUUUAGAGUUAUAUAUGAAAAUACCCCUCUUUUAAUUAUUAUUUUCUGCUAAUAUAUAUUUUUGGUCGACGUUAAUAUCUUGUCAGUUCCAUAUUCUUAUUUAAUUAAUAAUUAACACUAUAACGCCUGGGUAUCCCCAUUUGACGAGUAAAAAUGAAAAUGGG